rnacentral:rRNA from 1 species
UGAUAGGAAUGCUUAGUGGCGGACUGGUGAGUAACGCGUGAGGAACCUACCUUCCAGAGGGGGACAACAGUUGGAAACGACUGCUAAUACCGCAUGACAUAUAGAUGUCGCAUGGCAUUUAUAUCAAAGAUUUAUCGCUGAAAGAUGGCCUCGCGUCUGAUUAGCUAGUUGGUGAGGUAACGGCCCACCAAGGCGACGAUCAGUAGCCGGACUGAGAGGUUGACCGGCCACAUUGGGACUGAGAUACGGCCCAGACUCC